CCCAAGAGCCACUAGCCACAGUAUUUCAUGACAGGAGACCAACAGGAGCCAGUGUUUAGAGACUGAAGUUCUGGGAUGGGAACACUGGCCCCAACUCCAGACACAGGGCAAUGAGGCAUCCGGCAUUUACUGAACACCCAGCAGGAAGACAGAGGUGAUUUCCCAAGCAAGGUCCAAGAGGCAGGCAGUGUCUACCUUGCUGGCCAGACUAUCUCUCUUGAAGAAGCCUUGAGCCACCAUGUGAGCAGUCCAAGGCCCUGAGACUGCUGCGUGGUGAGGCCACAGGAAGAGGACCUGACAUUCAUAAAGACAGACAGAGGCUCACUUAGCCCCCGGUGGUCCCAGACGCCCCGCCAACAGCAGCUUCUGCCCGCCCCUGCUAUUCCGGCUCCAGUAUCUGAUUGUAGCCCCACACACGAGAUGCUCCCCUGCCAGAAACACCCAGCUAAGCUCUCCCAAAUUCCUCACCCACAAGAAAGAUUCUUCUGGAUGGGCCUGACCUAAUCAGGUGAGCCUUUAAGAGAAGGUGGAGUGUCAGAGGGAAGCAUUCACUCCUGCUGCUCCUGAACACCCUGCUCCCAUAAAUUCUACAGCUGCAAGAAAGGAGUUCUGCCAAAAAACACAUACGCUUGGACCCCAAGCCUCAGAUGGAACCUCAGCCCCAGAAACACAUUUAUUUCAGCCUUGUAAGCCCUCAAGAAGAGAGUCCAGCUACACUCUGGCAUGACUUAUGACCUACAGAACUGUGAGAUAAUAUACCUGUGUGGUUUUAAGCUGCUAAAUUUGUGGUUGUUUGUUACACAACAAUAGAAAACUAAUAUGAUAUUAUUAAGGGCAGCCUUCCAUGUAAGAGAAAGCUAUGUAACUAUGGCUAGUUCCUCAGUGUGCCUGAGCCAUUGUGAAUAAUGCCGACUUCUCUCUCUCUCUCUCUCUCUCUUUCUCUCUCUCUCUGGGUAGGCCAGGCACGGUGGCUCACACCUGUAAUCCCAGCACGUGAGAAGGCCAAGGCAGGAGGCUGAGGUGGAAGGAUCACUUGAGUCCAGGAGGUCAGGGCUACAGUGAGCCAUGAUCACACCACUGCACUCCAGCCUGGGUGACAGAGUGAGACCUGUCUUAAAAUAAAUAAAUAAAUAAGCCAAGCUCAGUGGCUCAUACUUGUAAUCCCAGCACUUUGGGAGGCCAAAGUGGACAGAUUGUUUGAGGCCAGGAGUUUGAGACCAGCUGGGCCAACAUGGAGAAACCCCGUCCAAAAAUACAAAAAUUAGCUGGGAGGAUGUGGAGGUACAAACCUGUAUUCCCAGCUUCUUGGGAGGCUGAGGCACAAGAAUUGUUUGAACCCAGGAGGCAGAGAUUGCAGUGAGCUGAGAUCACGCCACUGUACUCCAGCUUGACUAAUUCAAGACUCUGUCUCAAAAUAAUAAUAAUAAUAAUUUCUACCAGGAGGCAGAGAUUGCAGUGAGCUGAGAUCACGCCACUGUACUCCAGCUUGACUAAUUCAAGACUCUGUCUCAAAAUAAUAAUAAUAAUAAUUUCUACCAGGAUUCUGGAUGCGUCACUUGACUUCACUGUGCCUGACUUUCUUUGUUAUAAAAUGGAUCUGAUGUUCACCUACUUCGCCUUACAAAGAUGAUGGAAAGGACAAGAGGAUAAGAGAGAGAGAGUAAUUCCGCACCUCAAAAGGAAAAUGAACAAAUUCGAGUCCAAUCCUUUCUUUUUGUGUAACUCUGUCAUAGACACGGACCGUUUUGUCUGCUGGGUAAACACUGCAUCAACACAGUGCAUUUGGAGAGAAUGGUUCCGUCGUUCCACUCCAACUUCAUGGUUGAUGGGGCUCCAACCUUGGCCACUCUUGAUUGGUUUAGGGAUGAUACCUGACCUUUCUGAGCCAAUCGGAAUCUUGCCUUGUGAUUCUAGAACUGAGAUGGCAAAGUCAGUUUCUUUUCAGUAGCUGAAAAUGAAGUCAUGUAAACUCCUAAGUUCAUCUGAGGCUAAGCAGGGCUGUUUGCUCCAAUAUUCCAUCAUCCAGGCUGAGGAACAAAAAUAGCAGGUUGGCCACAGGAAAGAAGGAUGAGGCCAAAAGAGGUACACAAGGCCGGGCGCCAUGGCUCACGCCUGUAAUCCUAGCACUUUGGAAGGCCAAGGCGGGUGGAUCACUUGGGGUCAGGAGUUCGAGACCAGCAUGGCCAACAUGGUGAAACCCUGUGUCUACUAAAAAUACAAAAAUUAGCCAGUCUUGCUGGGGCGUGCUUGUAGU
rnacentral:lncRNA from 10 species